AUCACUUGGGAAAUUACAAAGGUUUUAGAAGCUCUGGGCCAGGAACCCAGGAUGAAGACUCAGUACAGGUUGAGUAUCCCUUAUCCAAAAUGCUUGAGACCAGAAGUCUUUUGGAUUUCAGAUUGUUUUGGAUUUUGGAAUAUUUGCAUUAUACUGGUUGGGCUGCCCUAAUCCAAAAACAUGAAACCUGAAAUCCUCCAAUGAGCAUUUCCUUUGAGCAUCAUGUUGGUACUAAAAAAGUUUCAGAUUUUGGAGCACUUUGGAUUUUGAAUUUUCAGAUUAAGGAUACUCAACAUCUAUGUAUUUCUUGUUAUAGCUCAUAUCACAGCUAUAAGUUUAAAAGCUUAAAGCACUGUGUGAGUGCUGGGGAACCAAUUACCCCUGACGUGACUGAAAAAUGGAGAAACAAGACGGGCCUGGAUAUCUACGAAGGAUAUGGACAGACUGAAACGGUGCUAAUCUGUGGAAAUUUUAAGGGAAUGAAAAUUAAACCUGGCUCAAUGGGAAAACCUUCUCCUGCUUUCGAU
rnacentral:lncRNA from 10 species